CUACGGGGAGGCAGCAGUAGGGAAUCUUCCACAAUGGACGCAAGUCUGAUGGAGCAACGCCGCGUGAGUGAAGAAGGUUUUCGGAUCGUAAAGCUCUGUUGUUGGUGAAGAAGGAUAGAGGCAGUAACUGGUCUUUAUUUGACGGUAAUCAACCAGAAAGUCACGGCUAACUACGUGCCAGCAGCCGCGGUAAUACGUAGGUGGCAAGCGUUGUCCGGAUUUAUUGGGCGUAAAGCGAGCGCAGGCGGAAUGAUAAGUCUGAUGUGAAAGCCCACGGCUCAACCGUGGAACUGCAUCGGAAACUGUCUUUCUUGAGUGCAGAAGAGGAGAGUGGAAUUCCAUGUGUAGCGGUGGAAUGCGUAGAUAUAUGGAAGAACACCAGUGGCGAAGGCGGCUCUCUGGUCUGCAACUGACGCUGAGGCUCGAAAGCAUGGGUAGCGAACAGGAUUAGAUACCUGUGGUAG
rnacentral:rRNA from 1 species